UAUUAGUGAUGAGUAUUUAUUAAGUCAGUUCUGCUACUGAAUACAAUUUGAAGAGAUUAAAUUUCUGAAUA
rnacentral:snoRNA from 1 species